GAUGAACGCUGGCGGCGUGCCUAAUACAUGCAAGUCGAGCGAACAGACAAUGAGCUUGCUCCCUUGACGUUAGCGGCUGACGGGCGAGUAAGACGUGGAUCACCUUCUUAUAUGUCUGGGAUAACUUCGGGAAACCGGUGAUACUACUGCCUCAUAUAUUGAACCGCAUGGAUCAAUAGUGAAUGACGGUUUUGCUGUCACUAUUAGAUGGUUCCGCGCCGCAUUAGCUAGUUGGUAAGGUAACGGCUUACCAAGGCUACGAUGCGUAGCUGACCUGAGAGGGUGAUCAGCCACACUGGAACUGAGACACGGUCCAGACUCCUACGGGAGGCAGCAGUAGGGAAUCUUCCACAAUGGGCGAAAGCCUGACGGAGCAACGCCGCGUGAGUGAUGAAGGUCUUCGGAUCGUAAAGCUCUGUUAUUAGGGAAGAACAGAAGUGUAAGUAACUAUGCACGUCUUGACGGUACCUAAUCAGAAAGCCACGGCUAACUACGUG
rnacentral:rRNA from 1 species